rnacentral:misc_RNA from 1 species
AUAUUUACGAAAUAUUCAAAAUGGCGAAAAUUAUGUACGAAUUAUUACAAACUUUCAGCUGUAUUUGGGUUUUUCUGCUUCUAGGCACAUGUAAUGGAUUAGGAACAUUCCAAAUUAAGCAUUCACCAGAGUAUGUCGUGUUCCGACAAGAAGCACAACCCAUUCCUUCAAGUGAAAUUUCUCCUGUCGUUUCCCAGUUGCUCGGCUUUACUGUUCAUCAGGGGGUAUCAUGGAAUGGUUUGAAAUCUGUGGACUUCUUUAAAAGACCCAAAGCAAAUGUCCUGUUCACAGUUGAAGGUGGUGAAAACAUUGUCAAUUUGAAUUCUAAGCUCGCUUAUGGUCUAACAAUGGACACGCCCGUAAUAUAUACCCAAAGGCUCGUUGAAACCCUAGAGUCAGGGGAAUUUGAUCAUAAACCUCUGAUCGUCGACUACUCGCUUACAGAUUUUUUACCGAAGCUUAAAUUACGUUAUCCAGAAAUUUUUGAUUCUCUACCAUCUACCUUUGAACAAAUUCGACGACACAGGGUAGAUCGAUUUCUUAAGGACGGAGGAGAGUCUUUAAAUGCGAGCAAAGAAAUCGAUAUGCAAUUUUUAGCCGAAUUAGAAAUUGCUUCGACAAUAAUCGACGCUAUUCAUUCUAAAAGGAGUUAUAUAGAAGACAACAGUCCUGAUUAUAUCCACAUGCGUUUUACAGCUCUGAGGCAGUUAAGGCAAACUUACGGCGAUGAGAGCGUACAGGUGAAAGCAGCUGCCAAAGCUCUUGCAGCCUUCGUUGAUGACGUGCGUGUUUUUUGGCUAAAGAAUUAUUUGUUUAUUAUAUUUUAUUUAUUUUCAUAUUUCAUUAUUCUUUUUUUUUCUUUUACAACCUCUUACUUCAACAGGCCGCUAGGCUAUUUAAAAAAUUUUACAAUGGAAACGUAGUCAUUGAACAAGUAGUGCUGCCAUCUGUCGUCGAUGGACCUCAUUUAAGAGUAGUCCGCAGUCUUCAAGAAAAAUCAUCUGACACUAAAAAAGAUGUAGGCCUUUCUUUUUUUUGAGAAUAACAUAUACAAUUACUGAUUUUGUUUACACAGCCGAACUUUGCUAACGUUACCGAAUCGUAUCCUGUUGUUUUCAAUAUAAUGUUAUGGCUUAUGGUAAAUUUUUUUUUCAUUUGUUUAAUUUCAAACUUAUUCAUAGAACAAUAGGUUUCAAGUCUAAUGCUACUAUAACACAAAGAUUAUAAUCACUCGUAUUGAUUAAGCAAAUGCAUUGUUUUCCUGACAAACUUUCAAUGUCACUUUCCUCGUAUACAGAUUAUACUCAUUCUCGCCACCAUUGGUAUUUCAUUGACGAUGUGGAAUAUGGAUCCAGGACGCGACAGCAUCAUCUAUCGAAUGACUAGUCAACGCAUGAAAAAAGACUAAUAAUUCUCUUUAUGUAAUAUUAAAGACAAUGAUCGUUAUCAUAGGAAUAUAGAUAUUAUACACACAAUAUACAAAACCCUGUAUACAUACAAUUUCAUUUUGUAAGAUAGAUCUCGAUUUUGACUUAUAAUAAAUAGAUUGCAUUUUAAAAACGUCUGUGAGCGUAAUCCCGAAAAAAUUCAAACUGUAUAUAUGUAUAUAUAUAUACAACAAUAUUCUAGUGUUUCUGUCCCUGCAAGUCCUGUAAAUAUGCUUUCUUCGGCGGUAGGCGAACAGUAUCGCCCAUGGACGACGAUCGUCGGCCUUUAUUCCCAUCAUCGUCAUUAAUUGAUAGUUUCCGGACGGUUGCGCGUUCAUCAUUCAGAUUAUCAACGCUACCUCUCUCAACUGUCGCUCGAUCUGUACGUGGCAAGUGCUGAGGAGACUGUCGAAUAAGCGAUGGAGGUACGAACGGGGAAGUAGCAUUAGCGGUAGGUUCACUAGAUUCACGCCAAUUGGAAUUAUUUCUUUCCCAUUUUUCUAUUAAUUCACGAUUGAAGCCAGUUACUUCAAACAUACAACGUUUGUUAGAAUCCUUCAGACGCUGUGGUAGUUCCUCUGUUUGUUCAGUUUCCAUUUGGGUUUCUCUAGGUCUAGAAUGCAGGAGUGAUUCAGGAAUAAUAUUGGGCAUAUGAUCGGGUGUGGUUUUCGGACAUAUGUUAACAAAAGUCGAAAAAUCUUUUGUGCUUUUUAAAUCUGUAGGAGUGUAUCCCGGACCGUGUCUACUUAUCGUCAUUCCAAAGUAUCCUGUUACUUUCUCCGUCGCCUUCGAUGCCUCAUCCAUCUGACGAGAUAGACUGUUUAUUCCGUCGCACGAUAAAUCGAGCGGCUUUUCGUCCAUAUUAAAAGGGUUCAAAAGGACAUUUUGCAUUUUUCUCAAUGUGCUACAGGUCGAUUGAUCAUCUGUGAGGAAAAUAUGGGGUUUUAAUUAGGCCAACACCAGGUGGCUCUGCGCUUUUAGAUAUGAUCAUUGGCGACUUUCUAAUUACGAUUGCGUACUGUCAGUCAAUUAACAAUCUGUAUUAUCGCUUAUUCGAUGGUUUGAAACCGGAACGACUCAUAAAAAGUUACCGAUCACUUACACUCAGUCCCAGAUAAAUUUCAAUUAAAUAUAAACACGCAUCAAUACGUCGCUCAGUUGUUGGUAAAAAAACAACAAAAAAAAUCUCAAACGCCUACGUAAUCCAAGGGAACUCGAACCAAUGACCUUGAAAUAGGAAAGGAUCCCAGCAAACAAGUUAUACAAUUAAUUAAUUUCAUAAGACGAUCAUAUUAUCCUCCUUUCGGCAUAUUUUUUAUAAUCGUCAUACUUUAAAAAUUUGCUAAUGCGCACGCGCCGAAUAAAGGCUUACAUUCUUCUAUUUACCAAUCUAAAUCAUUGACCGGUAAUGGGUCAUUCGUCAAUCUAAAAUAACAAUUCCUAUUCCAUUAAAAAAUUUAAGCAUACGGGUUUAUCCCUAACGACAUAUGCGCAUAUAUGUGUUAUCCAUAAUAAAAGAAUGGAAAACUUUGCCAAUAACAAUUUAACAUCUGUCAAAUAUACUUACACAAAAUCUAAAUAGUCCUCUUCGUCUAAAAACUAUUAACAUAUACGUACGUACUCUUAAAACACCUUAAGAUACGAAACGAAUUCAUAAAACAGUGAAAAAUCGUGCGGCGGACAUGGAUUGAUCCAGCCAGCUGAAGUACCUACAGUGUCCGAUAAACAGUUCAUCGAAAAAGCGCCAUGUUCGCUACGUAUUCCUAUCUAUGGCAACAUUUAUUUAAUAACAGCUUAGAAUACGGGACCAAUCUAAUCGACCAACUUUCAGCCUACGACCAUGAGACGCUUAUGUUGAAGAAACUAGGGCGUCUAAAAGAAUUUAAGUGAACAUUUUAUUAUGAACCCAAGGGUUAACAGUGCUUAACUCGGGCUGUAACCUUGAUUUCUGACGAGUUUUAUCAAAUUCUAUUUAUAACAACCAAAGUAAAAGCUCAUCUAACACAAGUCCUAGAUAAUGGACAAAAUCUUACGCCGACUGUUUUAUCGAGGUCGUUGAGUACAAUCGAUAAUUCUACGUCAGUAGCUGCUUUUGAAAAUGUUCAUGUUUACCAGGGUUUUUAUUCCUCUACCAUACUCAUAAUGUACUAUUUCAUCGAAAUUCGAUUUCUUAAUAACGAUCUAGCCUUCGAACCAAAAGUCCUAUCUAAUGUUGACCUCAAAAUAAUCAAUCCGAUCAUAUGUUACAUAAUGACAAGAUGGUGGUAGCGCACUAAAUACCUUAUACGAAAACUCUAUCGGUUAUUCACUUCGUUCGCCUACGUGAAAAAUGACGACCAAUUACGGAUAAAACAAACGACGUUUUUUUUUUGGAUAUUUGAUGUUUACGACUACUGACUACGGUUGGGUGGAGUUGAAAAAUAAAUUUUAAGCGUAGUAAAGAAGGCAGGCUUAAUAAGACCGUUUGCUGUCGGCCUACAAAAAACUAGAACGUAGCCAGUCUUGCGGUCGCCGACCUUUCAAACAGGACCGGUAGUGAGGAGGCUAAUCAAACGUGUGCUCCCUAAAGACUCAACUCCUUUAAUGCAAAUAAAAAAGGGAGGGAAUUAUAGGCAAUGUCCCGCGGAUACUUACCAGCCUUUAUGCGGUCAAGAAGCGUGUCCCUAUUGUCCCCAAGCGGCGUUCCAAACUGUCUCUGUAGACUGGGGCGAUAUUAUUUCACAGUCUAUCGUCAAAUAUGCAAUAUGUCCUUUUAUGAUCCGAUGGUUAGCAUCGCUAUCAAUAAUAAGAAAAGGCAAUAUUAGACGUAGAACAUUGAAGAGGCUUCUCCAUUUUUCUGCCCGAUAGGCGUAGUUAAAAAGCCGGUCAUCAACGCCACCUAUGUUACAUAUAUUUUUCUAUUUAUUUAUAGACCUCACUCUGAAUAUCACUAUUUUCCUUUUUAAAACUCGAUCAAUAAAACAGAUAUAUUGAAUUCGUUCAACUUUUCCAUUAAUGAUAGAGCUAUACAAGACUAAAGAAAAAAAAUUAUGAAUGCUCUGCACAAAUAUUCUCGAAAUUCAGGACUUAUUGUACUAAUAGAGCGUCAGAUUCUUAAAGAACGUCCUGAAAGGGUGUUUUGUUCGCACAGCACGCAUAGAAACAUAUUUUUUUCAUAGCUAACUAAAACUUUCUAGUCAAAAAUUUUUAUGACAUUAUGUUGCUACUAUUGUCACACUUUGGGAAUUUUAUAUUAU